GUUAGGAGGUGUGGUUUUGUUGGAGUAAAUGUGUCCUUAUUUGAAUAAAUUCGUCACUGUGGGGUGGGGUUUGAGACCCUCCUAGCUUCCUGGAAGUCAUUGUACUCCUGGCUCCCUUUGGAUGGCAAUAUAGAACUUUCAGCUCCUCCAGCCCUGUACCCGCCUGCACACUGCCCUGCUUUCUGCCCUGAUGAGAAUGGAUUGAACCUCAGAACCAGUAAGCCAGCCCCAAUUAAAUGUUGUCUUCCUUAAGGGUUGCUUUGUCCAAGGUGUCUCUUCACAGCAGUGGAAAUCCUAACGAAGAUAAGACUGCACACUUAGGACGCAUUUGAGCUGGAUCUAACCUGGAAGCCCCUUCCUGACAACUGGGCUUCUCUAGUAAAAUCCUAUGCCAGCUGCCAAGGGAGGGAAGCAAUUAAGAGGUCUACAGAGCAGUGACACCUGUGAACUGCCACAAGGACCGACCAGACAUCACCACCGACUGGGACUCGCUGUGUAGAACCUGGGAUUUACAGGGAUCUCUCUGCUUCUGAUUCCUGGGUGCUGGGAUUAAAGGUGUGUGUCCCUACAUCUGGGCUAUCCCAGGUGUCUAUUAGAAUUGAAAGGACUAACUGAUAAAAAUGUUGACGAUCUUAGGAGGGUGGAGAAGGACUUCGAAGUGGUUCUCAGACUCAUGUUGAGGAAUUCCUCAGGACAUGUGUUCAGCGCGCUUGAUCCCUGAGUCUCAUUUCCUGAAAUUUGGAUUCAGUGAGUCUGAGACGUGACUCCAGGAAUGUGCAUUUUUAACAAGCGCCAUAUGCUAUGCUGAUGCUUUUGGUCUUAGGCCACAUUUUAGAAGCAUCUUAAGAAAGUUGCUUUAGGUUGCAAUUGACAGCAUGCUCCUGAGCUUUCACAGGGGGCUCGGGCUUUCUGGCACCGUGUAGAAUACAGAAUGGAUGCUGAUGGAAGAAAGGUGUGAACAGAGAAGGAGUGGAAGGCAGGCGCAGUGGUGCUCAGCUCAUAAUUUGGCUAUAUUUUCCAGCUUAAUUACAAAGCCAAUAUGAUCAGCCUUUUCAGAUACUCUGGGUAAUUAGAUGAAUUGAUACCUUUGAUGUUCCCCACUGGGAGGAAAAUAAAAGGGGAUGUUUUGCAUGACCCACGCUUAAUGAACAUAUGUUGUCUCUUAGUGAUCACCGCACUCCUUUCCGGGUGCUGGAGAAUCACGUACUUCAUCCGUCUGCACUGAGAAUUAAGCAGCGUCUUGUAUUAACCCCCAGAGUCUCUCUUCACUGUUUCCAUCUGCACUUGUAAAAAAGUUAGGGUGUAGGCUUAGGUGGCAUUGUAUGUCUUCCUCCCUCUUUCUUUCUCUCCGUCUCUGUCUCUCUCUGUGUGUCGCUCUCCCUCUGUCUGUGUUUGUGUGUAUAUUUCUAAGCUCAUGCAUGUGUCAUUGCGUGUGCUCAUGCUUCUAGAGGCUAGAGCAGUGGUUCACUACCUUCCGAAGGCUGGGACCCUUUAGUAUAGUUCAUUAUGUUGUAGUGACCUCCAGCCAUAACAUUAUUUUGUUUUUACUUCAUAACUGUAAUUUUGCUACUGUUAUGAAUUGUAAUAUAAAUAUCUAAUAUGCAGGCUAUCUGCUAUGCAAUAUCCAGAGGGGUUAUGACCCACGGGUUGAGAACCACCGGGCUAGAGGCUAACCUUGGCUAUUGUUCCUCGGGUAUCUCAUUUUUUCCCUUAAGAUUGGGUUUCCAACAGGUCUGAACUUGUCAAACCAACCAGCAAGCCCUAGAAACAUGCCAAUGCCUGACUCCUCCAUGCUGGAUUCCACGUAGGCACCACCAUGCCUGGAUUUUAAAUGGGUUCUAGAGACCAAACUACAAGACUCAUGCUGCAAGGCAAGGACUUUACCAAUGAAGCCAUCUCCGCAUCUGGCUGUCCUUGUUCCUUAAUGCUUCUUUCAAAUAAUAAAAAUCCAAGGGCCAGAUAAUUUGACCAGUGUGUACUUUUUAGUUUUCCCCUAAAUAUAUCUUUAAAGAAAUUUAAAGGAACACCAGAAAAAUCGCAGACAUUAGACAGCAUUAUCCAGAUUAAUGCUUGUUUGCAUUUUUCCAUUGGCUGGGUUUUUUUUUUCCUGACCCAAUGGAUUGUUGUACUUCUUCAGUCUCCUUUCACAGAACAACUCCUCCAAACUGUUUUCUGCCUCUCCAGAUGGUCGCUUGAGUUCUCAGAGUACACUUCCUAAUUUGUUUGUUUGCUUACUUUUUUUUUCAGUUUUCCUUUUUAGAUUGUGCAUAUUCAAGAAGUAAAAUCAAAGAUAAUUCACAAAAGUCAAAGCGAAACAUUGUUCCUGAAGGCAGAGGAGGGUUAUACUUAACUCUACACAAUCGGCAUGGAGAGGCUGGAGCGGGGCUGAAAGGAAGGAUCUAGCCCACUGAGGAGUCUAAGGACAUAAUAAAACAUUAAAGAACUUCUCCAGGCAAAGCCAUCUAAGAGAUCUGUCCCCACCCCCCAGGAAGGGGCCUGCCUGAUUAUCCCACUAGCAGAAACAGAGGUAGGGAAAAGUGGCCUGGAUACAAACUCACUGAUGGGUCAUUGAUUCCAGUUCCUCAGCUGUGAGGGGAGACCUAGGUGGUGACUCUCUCAGCUAUGACACCAAGCCCCCAUUUCAUUCUCUAGGUGGCUGUCUUCUUGUGGCUUGCAAAGGUAUGAAAGUCUCCCCCAAUCCCCAUCCCAACUUGGGGCAGACCUGGAGGUUUCCCACCGAGGCUCUGUGAAGACUUCAUCCCAGCUCAAUCGCGCACUUUUCUCCAACUGCCUUCUACUUUCCCUGGCCCUUGGUGCUCCUGAAUUUCAGAGCACUUUUCAGCGUAGCCAUCUGCAGGCACUGCUCUGAACUCUUGCUGCAUAUCUAGUCUUUAAAAUUUUGUGGUGUACAUGCCAACAGCAGCCUCCAUCCAAUUUAUUCCUGAGAAGACAUGCUCAAGAGAGUGGUUUCUCUACAGGGUCAGACACUUAGCAAACUGUUCAUCAUCUGUUGUGAUGAGCCUGGAGUUCGGCCCCCCGGGAAGCCGAGGUCACAGCCACGGGGAUGAGUGAACCGGCAGACUGAGUGGAAACGGAGCCACUGCUGCUCUAACCUGCUCCUGCCCCUGAUGCUCCGCAGAGCAUGCCUCUGAGCCUCGCCGCCUCUCUGUGUCCUACCUGCGCAUCAGGCACAACAGAGCUGACCUUUCUCCCAGUCCCACUGUGAGGAUGAAAUCCUACUGCAGAGCACUUUGAAAUCUUUGGAUGACAAGCAAGCCAGAAGCGCCAAGCAUGAUGGUUACCCGUGCCAGCAACACGAGAAGACAGCAUAAAAAUAGGAAGCGAAGAAAAUUUCAUUUUGUAAAAGCUUCAGUGAGAAAAUUGGCUGGUCAGAAUGUCAUUCUCUGUUUCUGGUUCACGUAGACAUUGGCUUUUAUAAAAUUAGGAGGGAAAAAAAAAA
rnacentral:sRNA from 1 species